rfam:Triticum aestivum genome assembly, contig: Triticum_aestivum_CS42_TGACv1_scaffold_471581_6AL
CUAGUACUCCCUUCUCUGGAAAUACUUGUCAUUGAAAUGGAUGUAUCUAGAUGUAUUUUAGUUGUAGAUACAUCCAUUUUCAUUCAUUUUGAUGACAAGUAAUUCCGGACGAAAGGAGUAUAAU